UACGUCGGGUGCGAGCGUUAAUCGGAAUUACUGGGCGUAAAGCGUGCGCAGGCGGUUCGUUGUGUCGGUGGUGAAAUCCCCGGGCUUAACCUGGGAAUGGCCAUGGAAACUGGCGAACUGGAGUGCGGCAGAGGGGGGUGGAAUUCCGCGUGUAGCAGUGAAAUGCGUAGAGAUGUGGAGGAACACCGAUGGCGAAGGCAGCCCCCUGGGUCAACACUGACGCUCAUGCACGAAAGCGUGGGGAGCAAACAGG
rnacentral:rRNA from 1 species